GGGGGUACAGCUCAGUGGUAGAGUGCGUGCUUGGCAGGCACAAGGUCCUGGAUUCAAUCCCCAGUGCCUCCA
rfam:Camelus ferus unplaced genomic scaffold scaffold1204, whole genome shotgun sequence.